AGAGUUUGAUCAUGGCUCAGAUUGAACGCUGGCGGCAUGCCUUACACAUGCAAGUCGAACGGCAGCGCGGGGCAACCUGGCGGCGAGUGGCGAACGGGUGAGUAAUAUAUCGGAACGUACCCUGGAGUGGGGGAUAACGUAGCGAAAGUUACGCUAAUACCGCAUACGAUCUAAGGAUGAAAGUGGGGGACUCGCAAGAGCCUCAUGCUCCUGGAGCGGCCGAUAUCUGAUUAGCUAGUUGGUAGGGUAAAAGCCUACCAAGGCUUCGAUCAGUAGCUGGUCUGAGAGGACGACCAGCCACACUGGAACUGAGACACGGUCCAGACUCCUACGGGAGGCAGCAGUGGGGAAUUUUGGACAAUGGGCGCAAGCCUGAUCCAGCAAUGCCGCGUGAGUGAAGAAGGCCUUCGGGUUGUAAAGCUCUUUUGUCAGGGAAGAAACGGUGAGGGCUAAUAUCCCUUGCUAAUGACGGUACCUGAAGAAUAAGCACCGGCUAACUACGUGCCAGCAGCCGCGGUAAUACGUAGGGUGCAAGCGUUAAUCGGAAUUACUGGGCGUAAAGCGUGCGCAGGCGGUUUUGUAAGUUUGUCGUGAAAGCCCCGGGCUCAACCUGGGAAUUGCGAUGAAGACUGCAAGGCUUGAAUCUGGCAGAGGGGGGUAGAAUUCCACGUAGCAGUGAAAUGCGUAGAGAUGUGGAGGAACACCGAUGGCGAAGGCAGCCCCCUGGGUCAAGAUUGACGCUCAUGCACGAAAGCGUGGGGAGCAAACAGGAUUAGAUACCCUAGUAGUCC
rnacentral:rRNA from 1 species